rnacentral:rRNA from 1 species
CCUACGGGAGGCAGCAGUGAGGAAUAUUGGUCAAUGGACGAGAGUCUGAACCAGCCAAGUAGCGUGAAGGAUGACUGCCCUAUGGGUUGUAAACUUCUUUUAUAUGGGAAUAAAAUGUUCCACGUGUGGGAUUUUGUAUGUACCAUAUGAAUAAGGAUCGGCUAAAUCCGUGCCAGCAGCCGCGGUAAUACGGAGGAUCCGAGCGUUAUCCGGAUUUAUUGGGUUUAAAGGGAGCGUAGGUGGAUUGUUAAGUCAGUUGUGAAAGUUUGCGGCUCAACCGUAAAAUUGCAGUUGAAACUGGCAGUCUUGAGUACAGUAGAGGUGGGCGGAAUUCGUGGUGUAGCGGUGAAAUGCUUAGAUAUCACGAAGAACUCCGAUUGCGAAGGCAGUUCACUGGACUGCAACUGACACUGAGGCUCGAAAGUGUGGGUAUCAAACAGGAUUAGAUACCCGUGUAGUC